GAUGAAGAACGUAGCGAAAUGCGAUAAGUGAUGUGAAUUGCAGAAUUCAGUGAAUCAUCGAAUCUUUGAACGCACCUUGCGCCCUUUGGCCAUUCCGAAGGGCAUGCCUGUUUGAGUAUCAUGAACACCUCAACUCUUUAUGGUUUUCCAUGAUGAGCUUGGACUCUGGGGGUUUUGCUGGCUCACAGUCGGCUCCUCUAAAAUGAAUCAGCUUACCAGUGUUUGGUGGGUAUCAUGGGUGUGAUAACUAUCUACGCUUGUGGUUUUUCCACCAGGUAACCUUCAGCAGUGGAGGUUCGCUGGAGCUCAUAGAUGUCUCUCCUCAGUGAGGACAGCCCUUUGAAUGUUUGAUCUCAAAUCAGGUAGGACUACCCGCUGAACUUAAGCAUAUCAAUAAGCGGAGGA
rnacentral:misc_RNA from 1 species